rnacentral:rRNA from 1 species
CCCUUAGAUGUUCUGGGCCGCACACGCGCUACACUGAAGGAGGCAGCGUGUACUCCUGGAUCGAAAGAUUUGGGUAACCCGCGAAUCUCCUUCGUGCUAGGGAUUGAGGUUUGCAAUUAUCCUUCAUGAACGAGGAAUUCCCAGUAAGUGCAAGUCAUAAGCUUGCGCUGACUACGUCCCUGCCCUUUGUACACACCGCCCGUCGCUCCUACCGAGUGGGUGAUCCGGUGAACUAUUCGGACUCCGGUUAUUCCAGCAUUUGGUUUUGCUCGGGAAAGUUUCGUGAACCUUAUCACUUGGAGGAAGGAGAAGUCGUAACA